UACAGAGGGUGCUAGCGUUGUUCGGAAUCAUUGGGCGUAAAGGGCGUGUAGGCGGUUUGUUAAGUCAUGUGUGAAAUCCCUCGGCUCAACCGGGGAACGACGCAUGAAACUGGCAAGCUAGAGUACCAAAGAGGGGGGUGGAAUUCCCGGUGUAGCGGUGAAAUGCGUAGAUAUCGGGAGGAACAUCUGUGGCGAAGGCGGCCCCCUGGUUGGAUACUGACGCUGAUACGCGAAAGCGUGGGGAGCAAACAGG
rnacentral:rRNA from 1 species